CAAUAGCGUAUAUUAAAGUUGUUGCAGUUAAAAAGCUCGUAGUUGAACUUCGGAACCGGUCGAUUGGUCCGUCCUCUGGAUUGUGUACUGAUCGAUCUGUUCUUCUUCGCGAAGACCGCGUGUGCCCUUAACUGGGUGUGCACGGGAUUCACGACGUUUACUUUGAAAAAUUAGAGUGUUCAAAGCAGGCAUUCGCUUGAAUAUCUCAGCAUGGAAUAAUAGAAUAGGACUUUGGUCUUAUUUUGUUGGUUUCCGAGACCGAAGUAAUGAUUAAUAGGGACAGUUGGGGGCAUUCGUAUUUCAUUGUCAGAGGUGAAAUUCUUGGAUUUAUGAAAGACGAACUUCUGCGAAAGCAUUUGCCAAGGAUGUUUUCAUUAAUCAAGAACGAAAGUUGGAGGCUCGAAGACGAUCAGAUACCAU
rnacentral:rRNA from 1 species